GCGAACGCUGGCGGCGUGCCUAACACAUGCAAGUCGAACGCUGAAGUCGCUGUAGCAAUACAGCGGCGGAGGCGUGGCGAACGGGUGAGUAACGCGUGGACAACCUGCCCGCAAGUGGGGGAUAACCCCGGGAAACUGGGGCUAAUACCGCAUAACAUCCUUGGGUCGUCGGAUCCGAGGAUCAAACCCGCAAGGGGCUGGCGGAGGGGUCCGCGUCCGAUCAGCUAGUUGGUGAGGUCAUGGCUCACCAAGGCGAAGACCGGUAGCCGAUCUGAGAGGAUGGUCGGCCACACUGGGACUGAGACACGGCCCAGACUCCUACGGGAGGCAGCAGUGGGGAAUAUUGCGCAAUGGGGGAAACCCUGACGCAGCGACGCCGCGUGGAGGACGAAGCCCUUCGGGGUGUAAACUCCUUUCGACGGGGACGAAAACCCGCAAGGGUCUGACGGUACCCGUAGAAGAAGCCCCGGCUAACUACGU
rnacentral:rRNA from 1 species